AAAAUGAGAAGGUCAGGGGUUAAAAAAUCCACUAGCCCGACGCCCGGGACUAGAUCAUUUACGCCUCGGGCAAUUAAAAUGUGUAAUCCGAUAUGCCCGACGGACUAGUAACAAAAAAUUCUUGACGUUUCCAAAAUAGAAAGUGAAAAAUCCCUUCAUCACUAUUCUAUGUUAGCCAUUUCGAUUCAAUUAAGUCAUCCGGGAUUCCAAUAAUUUGAACUGGUUUGUACAGGUCCUGUUGUACAUAU
rnacentral:lncRNA from 1 species